rnacentral:lncRNA from 1 species
AACCGAAAAAAAAUUGAACCGAAUCGAAAUUUUUCGAACCGAACCCAGCCCUAAAUGGUAUAUUACCACUUAAACUGUUAUCCCUUAGUGUUCAAAGCAAGAUAUAGUAGGAACCGUAUCUGCAAAUGUAAAGAUAGAAAAGAUAAUCUCCAAGAAAAGAAAAUCUCCACGUAUCUAUCAAAGCACUUUUAACUAUCUUCAUGAGCCACAAUAUCACCAUCCAUCGGUCAAAAGAGCUAUUUUUCUUUAUAAGAGUGUCUUAGAGUGUUAGCUAGAAUGAACAUAUAGUAAAGAUUGCGUGAUGGUAGAGUUUGAUGUGAUGAUAGGGUUUAAUUAUUGGGUGGGGUCUAUUGAUAAAUUAUAAUUUUAUUCUUAAUUUUAUCUUGUAGUUGAUGGUAAUUAUGCAAUUGGAUAAAAAAAGACAUUUCACAUCUAAAAUUUAAUAAAUUGUGUAGAAAUAAGUUACAUGGGUUUAAAUAAAAUUUCUCAUAAUUUAUCGAGCUUCCAAUUUUACUCCUAACGUUAGUCUUGGCCCGCUUAUGUGCUCCACCUAUGUAAGUGGGUUGGCAACAGACGUGUCCCUCUUGAUUCGGUGUAGAUAUAAGAAAGGGAAAGGGAUCCUUUCCGGAUCUCUUGAUUCGGAGAAUCUAUUUCCUCUACAAUUCAUUCCUAUCAGCUUUCUUCUUUCUAGACACAACGACUUUUUUAUGAAGAUGGAUCUUUUCCAGAUAUAAUCCUCUUCAUCGAACAAUCCGGACAUUUGAAAUUUGAUUCAACGGCUAAAAUUAUUAUAACUUUAGAGUGGGCCCCUAUUUUUAGUCAUUGGAUCAAAUUUUAAGGGUCCAGAUUGUUUGAUGAAGAGGAUUAGAUGGAAGAAAUCCAGAAAAUAUCCAUUUUCAUAAGAAA